UAGGGAAUCUUCCACAAUGGACGCAAGUCUGAUGGAGCAACGCCGCGUGAGUGAAGAAGGUCUUCGGAUCGUAAAGCUCUGUUGUUGGUGAAGAAGGAUAGAGGCAGUAACUGGUCUUUAUUUGACGGUAAUCAACCAGAAAGUCACGGCUAACUACGUGCCAGCAGCCGCGGUAAUACGUAGGUGGCAAGCGUUGUCCGGAUUUAUUGGGCGUAAAGCGAGCGCAGGCGGAAUGAUAAGUCUGAUGUGAAAGCCCACGGCUCAACCGUGGAACUGCAUCGGAAACUGUCAUUCUUGAGUGCAGAAGAGGAGAGUGGAACUCCAUGUGUAGCGGUGGAAUGCGUAGAUAUAUGGAAGAACACCAGUGGCGAAGGCGGCUCUCUGGUCUGCAACUGACGCUGAGGCUCGAAAGCAUGGGUAGCGAACAGGAUUAGAUACCCUGGUAGUCCAUGCCGUAAACGAU
rnacentral:rRNA from 1 species